GGCUACUGCUAUUGGGAUUCGACUAAGCCAUGCGAGUCUAUGGACUUCGGUCCAUGGCGGACGGCUCAGUAACACGUGGCUAACCUACCCUCAGGUGGGGCAUAACCUCGGGAAACUGAGGAUAAUACCCCAUAGGAAAAGAGGUUUGGAAUAAUCCUUUUCUGAAAGGAUAUCCGCCUGAGGAUGGGGCUGCGUCCGAUUAGGUAGUUGGUGGGGUAAUGGCCCACCAAGCCUACGAUCGGUACGGGCCUUGAGAGAGGGAGCCCGGAGAUGGGGACUGAGACACGGCCCCAGGCCCUACGGGGCGCAGCAGGCGCGAAACCUCCACAAUGCACGAAAGUGCGAUGGGGGAAUCCCAAGUGCCUAUGCACAGCAUAGGCUUUUCCCAAGUCUAAACAACUUGGGGAAUAAGGGCUGGGCAAGUCCGGUGCCAGCAGCCGCGGUAACACCGGCGGCCCGAGUGGUGGCCACUCUUAUUGGGCCUAAAGCGUCCGUAGCCGGUUCAGUAAGUCUCUGUUUAAAUCCUACGGCUUAACCGUAGGGCUGGCAGAGAUACUGCUGGACUUGGGACCGGGAGAGGAAGAGGGUACUUCGGGGGUAGCGGUGAAAUGCGUUGAUCCCUGAGGGACCACCUAUGGCGAAGGCACUCUUCUGGAACGGGUCCGACGGUGAGGGACGAAAGCCAGGGGAGCGAACCGGAUUAGAUACCCGGGUAGUCCUGGCCGUAAACUUUGCGAACUAGGUGUCAUCUGGACCUCGGGUCCAGGUGGUGCCGAAGGGAAGCCAUUAAGUUCGCCGCCUGGGGAGUACGGUCGCAAGACUGAAACUUAAAGGAAUUGGCGGGGGAGAACGCACAACCGGGUGGAGCCUGCGGUUU
rnacentral:rRNA from 1 species